AUUUCACUCGUGUUUCCUUUGUUUACGUGUGCCCGGAGUGUUCAUAAGAAUCUAAAUAAGUCUCGCAGAGCUCUUUUGGCAAGUAUCAAAUACAAACUAAGGGAUACGCAGGCCCCGCGGUGGAGGAUUCGCGCUUCCUUUCUCAGAGGCACAGGUUGGUGGAGAGCCUCAGGACUCGGGCUUAGACCCUAGUUCUGCGACUUAGCACCUGUGUGACCUGAUACCUGCUCCUCCCCUGUAGAAACAUCAGAGAGAGGCACACCCCACCACACACACGGAGACACACGCAGAGAUGCACCUGAGGCACACAUGCACACAUAAAACCACACAGACACGCACACACACACAGACAAAACCACACAGACAAGCACACACAGACACAGACAAAACCACAAACACACACAGACAAAACCACAGACAUGUGCACACACACAGACAAAACCACACAGACACGCACAGACACAGACAAAACCACACACGCACACACAGACAAAAGCACACAGAGACACGUGCACACACACAGACAAAACCACACAGACACACACAGACACAGACACGCACACACACACAGACAAAACCACACAGAGACACGUGCACACACAGACAAAACCACACAGACAUGCACACACACACACAGACAAAACCACACAGAGACACACACACACAGACAAAACCACACAGAUUCACACAUGCACACACAGACAAAACCACACAGAGACACACACAGACAAAACCACACAGACACAAGCACACACAGACCAAACCACACAGACACAUGCACACACACGGAAAAAAACACACAGAGACACACACACAGACAAAACCACACAGGGACACACACACACAAAACUACACAGGAACACACACACACACACACAUA
rnacentral:lncRNA from 1 species